rnacentral:rRNA from 1 species
CCUACGGGUGGCUGCAGUGGGGAAUAUUGGGCAAUGGGCGCAAGCCUGACCCAGCAACGCCGCGUGAAGGAAGAAGGCUCUCGGGUUGUAAACUUCUUUUAUCAGGGACGAAGCAAGUGACGGUACCUGAUGACUAAGCCACGGCUAACUCCGUGCCAGCAGCCGCGGUAAUACGUAGGGGGCAAGCGUUAUCCGGAUUUACUGGGUGUAAAGGGCGUGUAGGCGGGAAAGCAAGUCAGAUGUGAAAACCAUGCGCUUAACCUGUGGCCUGCAUUUGAAACUGUUGUUCUUGAGUACUGGAGAGGCAGACGGAAUUCCUGGUGUAGCGGUGAAAUGCGUAGAUAUUAGGACGAACACCAGUGGCGAAGGCAGUCUGCUGGGCAGCAACUGACGCUGAGGCGCGAAAGCGUGGGGAGCAAACAGGAUUAGAUACCCCUGUAGUC